CCCUCUCUCCUCCUAGCCUGCACGCUCUCUCUCUCCUGUCAGAGCAUUUAUUGCGGACGUUUUUCUCUUUCCUUCGUUUGAGAAAGAAAACGCCGUUCGGACGGAGACUCGGAACAUUUCUUUCCUUUCGAUUUUUUGAAUCUGAAAUUCUCUCUCCGCGCUCGUUCCCCUGCCGUCGUCGAGCAUCAAGCGGCCGUUCCCCUGCCGUCGCCGACGAACCACAGUACGGCCGCUGCUACUCCGGUGCUCGCUCGCUUCUCUCUUCGGGCUCGUUGCUGCUCCGUCGUUCGUUCCGCCGUUCCCGGGGUCGCAGAUGCAGCACGCGGAAGGAGAAGCAGGCGAGGUUGCUGGAGAAGCUGGUGCCGUACGCGAAACGCGAGGCCGACGCCCCUCCGCCGGUUGCCUCCGUCGGCGUCGGAGUCCGUCGCCGACAAACUGAAAAUUUGAAUCUGAGAAUUUCUCUCUCCCCGUUGCUGCUCCGCCGUGCAUCAAGCGGCCGUUCCCCUACCGUCGCCGACAAACCACAUUACGGCCGCCCCUGACUCCGACGCCCCUCCGUCGACCCCGACUCCGACGCCGACGCCCCUCCGCCUCCGCCUCCGCCUCCACAGGUUGCCUCCGUCGCCCCGACUCCGACACGGACGCCUCCACCUCCGCCUCCGCGAGGGACGUCGACGACCUGCCGAAGAACGCGGCCAACUAUCCUGUCGGUCCUUUCGGCACGAAGAGGUGAUCUGAGCAAAGGCAAAAGGCGCCUUUGACUUUUGGGUCGGCGUCGUCGUCGCUGGUUCUCAAUCGGGUCGGGUCAUCCGUUGUCUUUCCACUCCAUGGCAAUGUUUUCCCAACUGGGAAUUUGUCUACCUCAGCCAUUAUGGAAAGAAUUCCAAGCAGGUGACCAUGUCCUGUGUGGCAUCCUCCAUGGAAGAACUACAGGGUCAUAAGUGGGCAUUUGGGAUAGGUGAGAUCUAUCGCAUUUGAUCCUAGCAAUUAAUGAUUCUGCACUGGCUCUGCAAAUUGGACAAUUAAGGUCAAAGUUCUCAACAAACUUGCUUCAGCUCGAGCUUCAGGAGCAGGUAGCGGCAGCAGAGUCUUAACAGAUUUGGUAGAGGGUCUAGAAGAAGCAGCUGUUGCUGUAGAAUUGAGGUUGAAGAUCAACCAGAGUCAUCCGGACUUAAAGGGAGGGUACUUGGUUUCUUGGUUUCUAGCAAUGUCGUUUUCUUUUUCCUUCUCUAAGAUCCUGAUAGUGUAGAGGUUACAGAUCUUUCCGAGACUAUGGAGAGGCAGUGUUGAAGCUCUUGGAGUAA